GUGGUUUAAAAAGAUAUCGUCCAAAUGGAAAGCAAACAAGGACCAUGAGAGAAACCAGGGAAAAAAGUGGUACCCUAAAAAUACCUCCCUUCCCCUUUUGUGCAUUUCAUCUCAAACAACCCCAAAUUAAUGUUGGACAUGCACAGGUUACUAUUAUUGGGGUUAGUGAUCAAUGGCGAGGGAAAAGAUAAAGAUUAAAAAGAUAAACAAUGCAACGGCGAGGCAAGUGAUGUUUGCCAAGUGCCGGAGAGCUAGGGUUGUUCAAGAAGUCACAGGAACUUGCCAUUUUGUGUGAUGCUGGCGUUGGGCUCAUCAUCUUCUCUGCUUCUGGGAAGCUCUUUGAAUACGCCAGCUCAAGAUUUUUGCAUGGUUUCUGAUUAUCUGAGUGAGUAUUUUAUAUUGGAGAUCGAACUAGUUGAUUUGGAGGAUGGUGAGAGAUCAUUUGUGUGUAUUGAGGUAGCUUUCUCUUAUUGUGUUUCUUUUAAUUCCUCUCCUGGUGUUAUGGAAUAUAUAGUUUGCAUAUAACAUAAUACAAGUACAAUUCUAUUCUUUGCUAACUCUUUAAGCAGUAAUCCUGAAAGGAUAAAUUAAAGAGGGAAUUAAAGAAAGCUUAAUUUCAUGAUUAACAACAUAAUUCGUGUGUGUGUGGUCUUGUAUCAUUUGCUUAGUUCUGCAACUUGCUAAUAUUCCCUCCUUAAUUCAAUCUUACUAUUUCUUGAAGGUCACUGUUCAAAUCUCUCAUUCUUUCCAAAAGUUUUCUUAUAUAUCAAAUUUUUACAGUAUUAUGUUUUACAUACUCACAUGCACACAAGCUCCACAAGCCAAUUAAAUUGUUUCUGACAAGCUUUCAUGGACAUAUCAUGCACACCUCCUUGUUAAAAAAAAGGUCACCAAAUUAGGGUUUAUUAAGUAUUUUUAUUCUUGGGAAAAAUCUUAUAUCAAGAUAUUUUUUGUAUCUCGGUAUAUUAGGUGAGUUAAAUUUGGGGUUAUUAAUAACUAAAAAUAGUUUUUGUGCCUCAUAAUGUUAUUUUUGAGAAAUUUAUUAUAUUUAGUUUUCGUAAGCAUGAGUAAUAUGUAUGUGGAGGUUCAGUGUGUAAUAUCUAUAUGGUUUGAUAAUUCUUUGCCCCUUCAUCCAUUUUCUCUACUUAUGGGUUCAUUCUUACAUAGACCAUGGUUAUCUUUUGAUUUGCUUGGUUUAGUUUGUAUUUGACAUAGUAUUGGAGUUUGAUUUGUUUGCAACGUGGUUGAUCAAAAUAGAGUAGCCCGUAAUACUAAGGUGUAAUAAAGUAAUUGAUAUUAAUUCCCAUAUCCAUUGAUUUAGUAAAUAUAGAUUUAUGAUAUAAUUUUGAGUCUCUUGUCCUCUUAAUUAGUUUACGUUUUUAGGUUUGAUUGAACCUAGAUAAUAUGUUUGAUUUGGAACAAACAAUGACAACCCCACAUUAAAUAAAAAAAUUGUGAGUAAUUCAUUUUUUUCCCACAAAUCCAUGUAUCGAUGAAGCAUGUGCGAGAUACUUCGUAAAUACAGGAUGCAAUCCGACAAUCCUUCAGAAACAGGCAACAAACUCUUGAAUUGCUUGGAAGCCAAAUCUCACAUUAUUUGUUUAUAUUAUUAUAAACUUGAUUUGAUUCAUCUAAAUGUUCAUUAAUUAAUUUGUUCCAUGUAGUUCACUUGUAUAUCAUUAUAUAUAUAUAUAUAUAUAUAUCUCCAAAUUCUUGUAAUAUAUUACUCGUUAAUGUUUGAAUUGUUUCACACGAUAAGUUGGACUUCUUUAUUUAAUGAAUAUAUGUAGUUUUCAAGAAUCUUAUAUAAAGCUACCAUGUGGGUUGUAUUCAAAGAAUUUAUACAUUUGGAUUUUAAAAUUUAUCUUUUAAAGUUGAAAAUUUAGAGGAACUCAAAUGUUCACUCCUCUAAUUCAAUGAAAUUGUGGUAGUUUUGCAUGUAGGCUUCCUAUGCAUGUAUGCAUAUGUCCUUUGUUGUAUGAACACUUCAAUGAACCACAUAGAUGUUUUUUUAGUCGGAUGAAGUUAAAAUAAAUACUUAAUAGUUUUUUAACUAAGUUAAACUUACUAAUUUAGUAAGAUAUAUUGAGUGUUGUUAUAACAAAUGAACAAAUUCAGAUUGUAUAUGAUUAUAACUACUUUUAUGGUCUUUUUUUAUGAUAUUGUGCAGUAUUCUUUUUGUGAUUUUUUACAUGGUCCUUAGCCUUCAUUAAACUUAUAUUUCAUAUAUAUAUCACUGCCUGCUUAAUUAGUCUCUUUGCGAUAUUAAGGAGAAAAAAAUCAACGAGAGAAGCUCAGUAUAGGUUAACUCCUAAGAAUUAAUUAUGAUUGUUGUUUUGGGUUGCUCACAUCAUUUUGGAGCUUUAUGAAUUGGAUGAAGUAAAGAUGGUGGGGAUUAAUUGGUAUAAUAGACUUGGAAAAUCAAGAGGAAUAAAACCUAAUCGAAGUUAAUUUUACUACAAAUAAUUUAAACAGAAUGAUUUGUUGAAUUUCUAACUUAAGACGUGAAAGUUAAACUAUGCAUUUGUUAGUUUGAGUCCUUUAGACCAAAUGACUUUUUUGUUAAAAAAAAUAAAAUUCUUUUAUUAAAUUGUAUGUUAUCAUUUAAUUAAAUGAGUUUGUGUGGUUCAUACAAGCCAAACUACUCAAUUUAUUAUUUAUCUUUUGAAUCUAGCUCAACUUGACUAUUACUUGAUCUUAUACCCACCCCAUCAAUAUUAAUAAUCAUAAGACAAAAAUCACAAUAUGUCACUGAUACAAAGAGUGUAUUAAAUGAAGAAACAAAAGAAUAAUAUGAAAAGAAUUUGAAGAAUAUUUGAAGAAUAUUAAUUUGAUUAUACUUGUCCAUUUUCUUUCAUCGCAUCACAAUGGAUAUUAAUUUGAUAUGUUAUACUAGUCCAUUUUCUUUCAUCGCAUCACAAUGGAUAUUAAUUUGAUAUGUUAUACUAGUCCAUUUUCUUUCAUCGCAUCACAAUGGUAAUGACUAUGAAUUUUGAAAAAAAAAAAAAAUCAUCUCUUCUUUAUUUUUAUUGUCGAUACGAAAGUGUGGACUUUUCAUCUUUCUGAAAACUACAUGAAAUCAAUUUAAUACCAUCAUCAAUUGUAAUCACUUGAUGUUGUUUUAUGGAUAAAAUAGCAUAGAUCAAGUAAUCUUUUGAGGUAAUUUUUCUUUCGCUUUUUAGCAAAAUCAGACUUAAAACAAAAUAUAUAAGAUCACUCAACUAGAUGUUUAAUGAAGUUUAUAAAAAUAAAAGAAGUUUUAACAACAAGAGAAUUUUAUGGUGUUAGAAAUAUAAAAUCAUGGGCGAAAUAAAAAAUAAAAAGUUUUAGAAGGGAGAAAUAUUUAGAUAAGGAAAGUGAAGAAUGUUUUUGGAUAUAGAAAUUUCUAGAAAGAGCAUGGGGAAGCUGAAAGUUUCUAAUUUAAACUAUUUCUCUAUUUUUCUAGCCACAUAUUGCAUUCCAUUGUAUUACUUAAUUAGCACAUCUGAACUGCAUUGAAAAUCCUAUAGUGAUAGAGUUGCUUUAAUCUCCAUAGUUCCUUAAGUGUAGCUUGUGGCUUUGAAAAUGAAGUAAAAGAGGUGGGUGUAAAUUGUGUGAGAUAAGAUAAUUAUUAACACCUCAUAGGUUAAAUAAUAUAGGUAAACUUUUACAGGACAAUGUUAUAUGAGAAGAAAUUUGGUAUUUUUAAUGUAUAAUUAUUUGAAUAGUUCUUCUAUUUUUUUAAGCUUACUUUUUUAGCCUACUUUAAAUUGUAGUAUUUUAAUUUCUAUACUAUUUUAAUUGAGUCAGACCAAUCCCUCUAAACUCUAAAUCUUAACGUUAAACCCUCAAGAAAGGGGAUUGACAUGAUUUAAUUAAAAUAAUAAAAAAACUAAAAUGUUAUAAUUUAAAGUAUAGGGGACUAAAAAGAUAAGUUUGGAAAAAUAAAAUGACUAUUCCCCAAAUUAUGCCUGUUUUUAAGCAUUGUUUAAUUUAGUGAUGCAUUUGCUGCUCAUGAGGACUUGCUCUUAUGAUGUGAUCACCUUUGCCUUACACUUUUGCUUUUCUUAAUUAAUUUUAUUUGAAUACAUAUGGAAGUUUGAAACAAAAACUAUUAAGAUAUAUAUACAUUGUGGCAUGAAUUGAUUGCUGAUGCACAUGCAUGUCUAUCAAGUUAAAUAGAUGAACAUAUUCUUGUUGACAUCACAGUACAUACAAAUUUAUAUUGAAAGAACACUGAGAAAAAUCAAACAAAUGAGAACAGGAAAGUCUUGGAUCUUAAGAAAGGCCUGGUUUUCUUCUUGUACCUUAUGUGUGUGUGUGUGUGUGUGUGUAUUACCAUGCGUAAGUUAUAACAACAAAGUCAAUAAUAUGAAGAAUGGCUCCUGCAUUUCUUACUGAAAUGAGUUAAAUUUCACUUUGUUUCAUUUCAUUUCUUUAGCCUGGCAACGGUGACUCUGCAGGUUUGAAGAAAGAAUAUGCGGAUAAAAAUCAUAAAUUACGGUUAUUUCUUCCAUAUUAAUGGUGUUGUUUAUGUGAUUGAGCACAAGAACUAAUGUUUUGAGCCAUUGCAUACAAAUGAGAGGAGAAGACCUGCAGGAAUCAACUUUAGAGAAGCUAAUGCAUCUUGAGAGAAGAACUGAUAUUAUAUAAACUCGUGUGCUGGAAAGAAUGGUUCUUCAGAAACAACACAUAAUGGAAAUGUUUAGUAGUCUUAAACAAAAGGGGAUGCAACUCCUGGAGGACAGUAAAAGAGGCUGAAAGAAAAGAAUUAAACAGGUGGAGGAGGAUGUGCAGAUAUAUAUGGUUGAGAAGCAGGCUUUGAUUGAUCAUGACUCAGUGAAUGGUUUCCAUGAAGACAGCCAAUAUUCCUCUGAACCAGUUCCCCAACAACAUGAUCUCACUACUGAUACUUCAGUUCUUAAACUUGGUCGAGAGAUUUUUCAAUUCAAUCAUAAAAAGCUCUAUUUUCUUUGUAUACAUAUAUAUAUAUAUAUCAUGAUUCAAGUUGAAGUGAAAGAGAAAAAAGCUGGCCAUGAAUGUAUUGAGGAGAGAGUAACAUACUAACACUUAUGCAUAUGUAUAUAUAUAUAUAUAUAUAUCUAUCAUGAUUCAAGUGGUCCUGCAAUUGUUUGCACAAAUGAAAAGUAUGUUUCAUUAGUUGAAGACAACCUAUGCAACGGUCAAUAUUGUUUAAUAGCAGGCAAACCGGGCAUCACUGUUGCCCAUGAAACAUGUCUGUUGGGGAAUCUGACCUUUAAUUUCUUAGUGGC